GGGGCUGCAUUUGGGGCUUUCCUGGGAGCUAGGGGAGGUGGCCCAUUGGGCCACCUCCGGUCGCCGUCCACCACCCGGACUGGCGCCACCAAGCAAACCCAGCCGCCCUGCUCCCCUCUCUGCCCUCCGCGCCCGGACCCUUGCGCCUCUCUGCCCGACUCACCGCGCUCUGCGCAGCAAGGGUCGCAUCGGGUCCCAGAGCUCUGCGCCUCGGGGCUUCGCUUCCCGCCUGUCCUGCGGCACACUUCUCCCUUAUCCUCAGCUGUCCUCCAAGGCCGUCUCUCGACUCUUUUUUUCCGGGUUAAUUUCGUUUCACAUUAAAGCAAAACCCAGCCCCGGAUAAAUAAGUCAGCCAUUCCAGUGGAUUCCUGCCUGCAGAGGGCCUCUCAGUCAGCUUGGUGCCUGCAGUCUGCCGCCAAGAUCCCAAGUCCUGUGACCCAGGCAGAGGUUCUGGGAGGAGCCGACGGCCAUCUCUUUCACCAGGAGAACCAAGUAGCUCCCUUAACCUCAGCCUCAUGACCAUGUUUCAGCACUGUCUUAGACUUGGCUUUUCAGACUCAGUUCUGCUUCACACACUCAGUUCUGCGAUCACGCGAGGAAGGGAGCUUAUUAGUAAAUCCGUGUGGAGACCACAGCCCACACCAUCAGUGAGAAUCAGCGUGGGACCACUUAUUCCUGGGGACACCUGAACAUCAACAAGGCAGGUGACUGACCCCAAGGACUCUCAGCACAACACAGACAGCAAGAAAAAAAAAAAUCAAAAGGGGUAUUUAAAUACAGUAAUAUUUAUCAUUACAUCAUUUUAAGAGGAAACAACUCUUCUAGGCCAUGAAAAACUCAUAGAAGAUUUUAAUUCUAAUUGUGGUGUGUAAGAGGUGGAACCAAAUGAACCUUUAGGAGUUGACUAGGGCACUUGGGCAGCAAGGUGGCUCCGGCACUAACCACUGAGCUGACAACCCAGGGUUAAGCCCCAGAACCCAGGGUGGAAAGACCGAUCCAGUUCCCACAAGGUAUUCUCAGAUUUCCAUAUAUACACCAUGCACCCUCCCCUCCCCCCAAUCAAUAAAUAAACAUAAAAAUGAUGGACUUUGUAAUGUUAAACAAAAGAGAUGACUGGGCUGAGGGAUCCAUUCUGGACCAGUGGACACAGGCAAUUUCGUGAGUCAAAAAGUCUGUGUCUUACACUGAGACCCCUUGGCUCUGGGUGCCCCGCCCGGAGCCGAACAAAAAGGCCAUCGUCAGCCAUAAGAACCAGGAACAAACCUCUCCUCAUUGAUUGCUCUGACUGGUGUAUCCAUUUAUAGCAACAGGAAACAGCCUAACGCAGCGCAAGGUACACAGGACUCGAGCCACACACCUUUAAUCCCAUUCUCAGGAGGCAGAGGCAGAGAGAGGCAGAGGCAGACGGAUCUCCGUGGGUUCCAGGUCAACCUGCUCUAGAUAACAAGAUGUUGAAACUGCAGAGUGCUAACUGUGUAAAUCAGCAACUCUUCUCACUUGCUCGGGUGUCCGCUUUCCUCUAAGCCUUUGGGAACAGGCAGAAAUAGGUGUUUAAUAAAGUUCAUUUUGCAAGGAA
rnacentral:lncRNA from 1 species